CUCCCUCCCCUUACGGUGGCCGAAAGGCCGAAGUAGGGCGGACGGGGUAGGAUGGGUGUUUGCUGCCUGGGGAUUGUACCAGGCUCGCCCGAAAUGCAUAAGCGCCAGGACCCUCGCUACCGCUCUCUAGGGAAGAGUGGCUAAGCGACCGCUGAGCAUGGCAUGAUACGUCAUUUGCUGUGUGUGGGCGGCCGGUUGGAGAGGUGUCUGCUUUACCAGCCCUAUUUUAAUUCUGGUCUCAAAUCAGGUAGGAUCACCCGCUGAACUUAAGCAUAUCAAUAAGCGGAGGAAAAGAAACUAACAAGGAUUCCCCUAGUAACGGCGAGCGAAGCGGGAAGAGCUCAAAUUUGAAAGCUGGCACCUCCGGUGUCCGCGUUGUAAUCUCGAGACGUGUUUUCCGUGCGGCUCUAUGGACAAGUCCCUUGGAACAGGGCAUCGUAGAGGGUGAAAAUCCCGUACUUGCCAUGGAUGUACCGUGCUUUGUGAUACACGCUCUAAGAGUCGAGUUGUUUGGGAUUGCAGCUCAAAAUGGGUGGUAGACUCCAUCUAAAGCUAAAUAUCGGGGAGAGACCGAUAGCGAACAAGUACCGUGAGGGAAAGAUGAAAAGCACUUUGGAAAGAGAGUUAAAAGUACGUGAAAUUGUCGAAAGGGAAGCGCUUGAAGUCAGCCAUGCUGCGCGGACUCAGCCCGGCUGAUGCCUGGUGUAUUUCCCAGCAGCAAGUCAGCAUGGAUUUGGAUCGCCGGAGAAGGGUGGGAGGAAUGUGGCACCCUCGGGUGUGUUAAGCCUCCUACUGGAUACGGCGAUUUGGAUCCAGGAACGCAGUGUGCCUCUGGCGGGUCUUCGGACACCUUCACACUUAGGAUGCUGGCGUAAUGGCUUUAAGCGGCCCGUCUUGAAACACGGACC
rnacentral:rRNA from 1 species